rnacentral:rRNA from 1 species
UACGAAGGGGGCGAGCGUUGUUCGGAAUUACUGGGCGUAAAGGGCGCGUAGGCGGCGACCCAAGUCAGAUGUGAAAGUCCUGGGCUUAACCUGGGGACUGCAUUUGAUACUGGGUUGCUUGAAUUCGGGAGAGGAUAGCGGAAUUCCCAGUGUAGAGGUGAAAUUCGUAGAUAUUGGGAGGAACACCGGUGGCGAAGGCGGAUCUCUGGGCCUUACCUGACGCUGAGGCGCGAAAGCUAGGGGAGCAAACAGG